GUGCGGGGCUGCGGGCAGAGCCCCCGCCGCGGGGAGAUGGCGAUGGGCGCCGCGGGGCAGCCCCGGAGCUGCCCGAGGGGAUGCCGCGCUCGCCUCGGAGCCGCCCGUGGCGGCCCUGGGGUGAGCUGUGCUCGUAGGGCCCAUCCCGGGCACGGGGGGAAGAAUCCCGGCCGUGGGGUGAACCGUGGCCGGGCCCCGGAGUGAACCCUGGCCGUGAGGUGAGCCUCAGCCGUGGGACGAACCGCAGUGGAGGGGCAGAUCCGUGUCGUGAGGUGAAGCCCGGCCAUGGAGGUGAAGCCCGGCCAUGGGGUAAAUCCCGGCCUCCAGGGGAGCCUCAGCCCCGGCGCUAAUCCCAGCCGUGGCUGUGGGGUGGUACGUGGCCGUGGGGCGAAUCCCGGCCACGGGGCGAAGGCUUGGCCCCAAUCCCCUUCACGUGUCGUGAUGGGAUCUUGGCCUGGCGCUGCGGGUGACCCCAGCGUGUUGGUGAGGGUGUGUUUGGGGUGACGGUACUUCAGGGCUUUAGGGUGUUUUGGGGAGAUGCUGGUCUCACCACCUCUUCCCAGUGGUUUCUCAGUGGUCGGCAGCAGUUCCGUAGGAGGAGGAUGACAAGAGUGUCACCUGCAGUAAAACCUGGGCUGCCAGCCCAGGCGUGCUGCUUGCAAAUGAAAGCACGCACUUCAGCGCUGAGUUUUGUUACAGUCUGGGGCUCCCAGCCACACCACAUUUUUUCUGACCUUCUGGAAAUCCUUAGACCAGUGGCUUUUAUCGGGCUCUUUCGGAAACUUUGAAUAGGCUGAGUAUUUGUUUUGGGGAGGCACAACUUCUCCUGAGUUGCCAUGCUGAUAAGAAUUUUACACGGCCUUGGUUAAGCAGGGAAUUUCUUACAAUUAAAACUCAGAGCUAACCUAGAGGGCCAAACACCCACCCAGGAGUUAUUCAUGGUGUGUAGACAUGGCUGAUAAUGAAAAUGAAUAAAUGUGCUUAUUUUUAAAAAGAAAAAAAAAAUAGUACAUUAUUCCUCACGACCCAGGGAAUUCCUAGUAUCAUUGUAUCAUCCUGUAUCCCCGUUUGGAAGGCCAUAGAGCUCUGGUAAAGGCAGAGCACGGCCUGCCAAGGAUUUUAUUUCUGUGCUCUCCUUAUGAAAAAUAGGGAAAGUGGUCCUGCCACAUGUCCCUGUCCCGGAGGGCAGCAUCCAUGGGCACGGCUGUGGUGCCUCCCGGCAGAUCCAGGCUGGCGGGGUGCUGAGUUUUGCUUUGUGCCACAGCCCGACCUGGGCUCCUGGACAGAGCCCUGCUCCCUCCCCACCAAGGGAGGUGUUUCCAGCCUGAUUGUAGAAUUUUGCUCUGGAGCAGAUGGACAGCGUGCACUGCUGACACCUCACUGCUCCGUGCUCUGGAAUGAUGAUCCAGCCUGCAGGAUUGUGUCGAUCCACCCAAACAGAACUUGUGUUUGAGCUCCAGCCCAGGCAUUACAUCUCCUCCAGAGGUGACUCCAAAAGCCCCGUGGCAGUGUGCCUGUUGGUGUCACAGAACAGUAGAAAUUCUGCAGUGCUCUGCUGUCUGCUAAGCAAACCCUGUUAAACACUUUGAGUUUUGUUCCCUUCUUACUAUUAAAAGCGGGGGCUGCUCUGAGUGCUGAGAUACAGCACAAUUUAAUUUAUUCCCUUUUAUCUCUUCCUACAGGAGCUCUUUCUCAUUUCGUUUGUGCAUUUAAUUGAAGGCUAAAACUCAGUGUAAACGGCCCAUAGGUGUUCCCGUGCAAAGAUUAGUUCUCUCCCACACUGGGAAGGCCAGACCCUAACAUGUCAGGGCUGAGACUCCCCAUGAGCAGAUUGCUGGACAAACUCACCCCAGCAGCAGCGGGAAGAAGGCAGAACUUUGCAGCUCCGUGGUGGUGGCUGUGGAGUUUCCCACCUGCUGGCACAGCUCUACUUGUGACCCGGGACUGACACGAGUCCCGGCUGCAGGAGCAGACUUAUCUGCACAAGUGCACUCUUACUGAUAGAGCUUGUUUUCCUUUCCUCAAGGGUGUUUCUCCCCGUCCCUGGGAGCAGCGCUGCUUCCAGGGAUGGAGCCUGCUCAGGCAUUGAUCUGCCUGGCUGGGAAGGGAAGGAAGGGGAAGGCUGCUCCAGGUGUAUUUGCCAUGUGUGGCUCUCCUCUUCCCACCCACAAUCUGUAGGAGCCCUGUCACAUUUGCACCAGGAAUCCUCUCGUUAGGGCUGUUCUCUUUCCAUGGGAUAAAACUUCCAUUUCAUGGAAGAAACUGUAUUUUGUUGUUUCUCAUUAACAGCCGUGGUUUUGUAAAAAGCCAGGCAGGCUUUUGACCAAGUUUAACUUUCACACCAGUCACAGGAGAAGAAAGUAAUGAAGUGAUCCCAAGGUAUGUGUGUGGACUCUAUUAGGAGAAUGAAAAAGCACCAGUGGGGAAAAAUUAAUUAAUUUCCACACUGGGCAAGCCUCUACUUAAUUUCAAUCUAAACCACCAAGAAUUAAAACUUAGAGUUAGGUAGCUUGCAGCAACCACUGGCUUUUUUGUUUGAGCCAAUGUGCACAAAUGGGGGGAUGUGUUUCUUUUUUCUUAUUAAAGCUUUCCCCAAGGUUUUAGGUGAUAAAAUUAUCCAUCAGUAACGUGCAUAAUUUCCAGGCAAACUUUCUUGAACCACCCCCAAGAAGUUCUGCUUCUAUCAGCUGUAAUCUGCUGGACACUUUUGGGUUACUGGGGCUUAAAAGGGGAGAUAAAUCCAAAUAAGUGCUUACUUUUUAUUUGCUUACUGUUCAGUGGAAAGAGGUUUGGGGAAUGCCAAAAGGGCACUUAAGGCAUGGGAUUGUAACCUGAUUUGCAGACUACUGAGAAAGCAAAAGUAACAGUGGAGUUUAGUUUUUUGGGAGCAUAAGAUGGCAUUUGUGAAAACUUUAAAAAAGUAGGUUAAAAUAUGUCUUAGGCAUAUUUAGAUUCAGGAGGAUUUGCUGUGGUAUUAGUGCUUUAGAGCAUUAAAUGCUAAGCCUCUUGUAAAUUUUUUUUGGUCCAGAUUCUGUGGUUCUCUGGAUGUCGGGUUGUGAUCAAGGUGCUUGUUACAGUGACAGUGUGGUGUAACUUCACCUUCUGGUUAAUUCUUUGGGUUUCCAGUGAUUUGUCCAUGCAGCUUCUCCAUCUCACCUGUAAUGAUUAAAAAAAAAAAGAAAGAAAAAAAAAA
rnacentral:lncRNA from 1 species